rnacentral:rRNA from 1 species
CCAGCUCCCCUGCACAAUGAUCCUGCCAUAAUCCAGUCACAUUAUCCUCAGCCCGCAUCGACGGCCUCAAGUUUGCAGUCUGCUGCUGGUGCAGCUUUACCACACCUCAGCUCCCAGCCAGCCCAAUAUGGGUUUCAGAGACCAAGUUUUCCAAGCAACAUUCCUCUAUAUCAGCCAGGGAAUAAUCCGUGGGGUUCUUCUGGUCAACCCCCCGCUGGAAAUGCUUCUGCUCUUUCUGUCCCCCCAAUGUACUGGCAGGGAUACUAUCCAGGUGGCCUUCCAUCUCAUCUGCAGCAACCUACUAUGCUUCAGCCCACGCCCGGAUUAUCAGCUCCACAGUCUUUCCAAUAUCCAGGACUGAAUGCAUCUUUACCAUCUGGGCCCCCCUUGUUGCAACCAUCUGCUACUGCUCAAGGUCCUUCCUCAAGUGCCACACCUGCUACAACGGCACCUUCUGCUAGCUUAUUAGGCCCAGAAACAUCAAAGCCUCUGCUGCCGAACAUGGUGCCUUUGUUUACUCCUCCGGUGCCAUCUCACGGUGCCUCCCUUCCUGUAGCCAGUCAGCCAAUUUCCAUGACUGAAACUAGUGCAACAGCACCGCAGAGCUUAAAUUCUCUUGUUAGUAGUAAGACUCCUGCUGUAAAUCCAGGCUCAACACUGUCGCACCAAACAGCAUCCCAGGCAAUUUCUUCGACUAUUGCCUCGUCUAGUCUUGCUGGAUUGGAGAUCCCAGCACCUUUGUUAGCAUCAUCUGGCCAGCUAUUGCAGAAUGCUCCAUCCAUGCUUUCAUCAUCUCAGUCCAUGCAAACACCUUUACAGAUGAGCAACAACACUGCUAAGCCUGCUGACCCUAAAACAAGGGCUGCAGAACCACUGCUACCUGAUCCUCCGGCACGUGCGCUGCCUGAAAAUAAUGAGCCUAUACUGCCAUUGCCAAAACAGUCACCACAAAGGCACAAUGGAGCUGGUUCACAGGGCCACCACAACUAUAGGGGCCGUGGAAGGGGUAGAGGCAGUGCGGUAUGCCACAUGCACUCACAGUAUAUCUUGUUUUUUUUGUUC